rnacentral:rRNA from 1 species
GACGAACGCUGGCGGCGUGCCUAAUACAUGCGAGUAGAACGCACAGUUUAUACCGUAGCUUGCUACACCAUAGACUGUGAGUUGCGAACGGGUGAGUAACGCGUAGGUAACCUGCCUGGUAGCGGGGGAUAACUAUUGGAAACGAUAGCUAAUACCGCAUAAUAUUGAUUAUUGCAUGAUAAUUGAUUGAAAGAUGCUAUUGCAUCACUACCAGAUGGACCUGCGUUGUAUUAGCUAGUAGGUGAGGUAACGGCUCACCUAGGCGACGAUACAUAGCCGACCUGAGAGGGUGAUCGGCCACACUGGGACUGAGACACGGCCCAGACUCCUACGGGAGGCAGCAGUAGGGAAUCUUCGGCAAUGGACGAAAGUCUGACCGAGCAACGCCGCGUGAGUGAAGAAGGGUUUCGGAUCGUAAAGCUCUGUUGUAAGAGAAGAACGGGUGUGAGAGUGGAAAGUUCACACUGUGACGGUAUCUUACCAGAAAGGGACGGCUAACUACGUG